GUCCGGUCCGCAGCCUCGAUUAAUCGAGACAAGUUACUCACUGUCUUGAUAUGUCAGACGCGUUUAAUCGCCGCCGAGCGAGAGACUUUGUUUGUCCGCCGGUGCGCAUUCGAUGAAUCUUCCCGUCCGGUCGCGUCGCGUCGGGUCGCGUCGGGUCGUAUCGGGUCGCGUCGGUUCUAAGCGCUCCCAUAAUUCAUACUCGUCGCAUCGGAAUGCGACAGCGCGGCACCGCGGUAAAUUUUCACUCGGGAAUUCAUUCUCGAUGGUGCGAUCUUUUCUGUAUCCAAUUCUCCGACCGAUACGACGCUAGGUUUGCAGUCGGUUUUUACGUCGUAAAUUUCAAAAAGGUUCGGAUUGUUUAAUUUACGACUGUUACUCUUGCGAGGCUACAUUAACCGGUGUUCGGGAUUUUUAUUUUGCCGUCGAUUUCGACGAUCGAGGCGAGGUUCGGCCGAACAUUAUCCAGUCAAAGAUACGCAUCUAAGCGACCAGCAUUUUUUUUAUGAAAAAGGAACUUGUUCUCGCAGGUUUUUAUAUCCCAAUCUGUGGAAACGUGAAUACCGACCAACUUUUGAUGUAAACAUUUUCUUGUAAAUUCGAUAUUUUUCCAGAUAUUUUGUUUCGUCUAUUAACUCGCACGAAGCCAUUUUAAUUCUGAAUCAACAAAUCAUUUCUUUUGAUCUAUACAGUAUUUCUGUUUCGUAUGACUUGUUGCAUUUUGUGCAUACGAAAUUGAGCCUUGUGACUGGACAAUUACACUUUUAACAGUUUUAUUUUUAGAUAUAAACAGGUUGGACAGUGUAAACAUUAUUCUGAUACACCAUAUAACAAUUUUUACCUCAGAGUCGCCACUCGAUUGCAAAGUAUUAAAAUGACAAGGUUACCUACUUCCGGAAGGUAUUCUAUUUCAUUUAAGAACAUCGCGUUACAAAAAUAUGUUUGGAACAGAAGCUGUACAUUUUUCACGUAGGAUAUGAUUCCGAAAGAAAAAAUAUAGGUUACGAUAAAAAAGAAAGACAACGUUAUUUUCCGUACCUUGACAUAACCUUGAAAACGUCCACGCAUUGAAAAACUAGUAGCGCCAUUUGACUCUCCGCUUGAAACACUAGAGGACAUGUGUCGAUUUGGUUAUUUUUUAGUCACGUGUAUUCGGGAUUGUCCACACGGGACCGGUGAACAAUCAAGGAGAUCGCAGCCGAUUUCGGCGCAAUUUUAUAAUCGAGGUUCGGCCGACGACGGUUUGAUUGGGAGGGACGGGCCUACCAUCUCUGAGCGAACGCAUUACUCGAUUACUCCGAGCUCCUUGUUUUGCACAGGAGAACGUCUUUGGGCGAUGUGGUCACGUGACGAGUGGCAGGCAUCUCGCUCUCGCCCGGUCAGCCUCCUUUGCUCUCUUCGUUACGAACCGUGCGAGUGUCAACACGUGCCGUGUUAUUCGAGCUGUUAAAGAUGUUCACAAAUUUCAAGGGCAUCGAAGCAUUUUAAAAUGGAACGAUAUCAUUUUAUUAGCGAUGCAGGAAAGAUAGAAAUGAUCGUGGAGCAUGGCGAGGCUAAAAGUAACUCGAAACAAGGGGUUGUCCAUCGCGGAGCAGUUUUAUAUUACAGCGACUUAAUUUGGACAAAUCGCCUGUAACAAUACGUUGUUACAAUACCAGACUGCAAUUAUUUAUUUUAUAAUUUUAUUGUUUAUUAUUAUUACGAUAUCAGAAUGUCAAAGUUAUGACAUUAUGGGGCUGCAAUUAUGUCAUAAUGUAUUAUUAUGUAAUUUGGACAAGUUGCCUGUAGCAAUACGUUGUUACAAUACCAGACUGCAAUUAUUUAUUUUAUAAUUUUAUUGUUUAUUAUUAUUACGAUGUCAGAAUGUCAAAGUUAUGUCGAGGUGUCAUUUCAAAAAUCUUAGAAAGUA